rnacentral:rRNA from 1 species
UACGUAGGGUGCGAGCGUUAAUCGGAAUUACUGGGCGUAAAGAGCGCGCAGGCGGUCGUUCAAGUCGAGUGUGAAAGCCCCCGGCUCAACUGGGGAGGGUCACUCGAUACUGAUCGACUCGAAGGCAGAAGAGGGAAGCGGAAUUCCCGGUGUAGUGGUGAAAUGCGUAGAUAUCGGGAGGAACACCAGUGGCGAAGGCGGCUUUCUGGUCUGCUCUUGACGCUGAGGCGCGAAAGCUAGGGUAGCAAACGGG